CACCGAUACGCUAUCCAUCAGCUCUGGAAGUUCGAGACCCGCGGUGUUCUAGUUUUUUUUCUGCUCGCCAAAUUUCAGUGUUGUCUUGUUAAUUUUUCGAAUUUUCUUCCGCCGAAACCCGCAACAAAUUGUUAGAAAAGCAAACGCCGGAGUGCUUUCGUAUAAUUUCGCUUGUAUUUCAGUUAAAUUAGCUUGCUGCGUUUUCGCAAUUGCUUUCUUCGAACGUGGCUUCGUUCCGUCGGUCGCAGUAGUUUGUAUUGUUUACAUUUUUUCGGGAGCUAUAGAAUUGGCUUGUUUUUAACGGUAGUGUACAGUGUAGUAAAUAUAGUGCCUUAUAUUUGGUGCUAAUAGUGAAGAAAUGUUUCCUGUUAUCUGAGCAAUAAUAAUAUCCAAAGUGCAAUUGUGUGAACCGCUGAUUGAUUUGUGUGAUCAGCCAGGCGAGAAGCGACGACGACCACGAACACCGGAAGAAAAAAAGAAGCAAAAAAAAUCAUACAAGAACGAAGGGAACGGCGGACGACGGUUGCCACCACCACCUGUUAGAACUGGGAGUGCGCCGUAAGCGGAGUUUGGUCGAAAAAGCAGUGCGGGGAUUGCAAAAAAUUGACACCAUCGAAGUUACAUUCCAAUUUUCACACCCACCUGGAGCAGAAAGCAUCAUUCCGUUUGCAAACAUUCCACUGAUCGCGGGCUCCGAGUGGCGAUAAGAAUUUUCACGCCAGCUAGCAAGCAUCGCAAACACGCUAAUUGAACAAUCGCAAUCCGUCCACACAUCUUUUCCCGAACGUUUCUGUUGGGUCGUCCCUCCGAGGGUUAACGAAGCAGGUAACGGAACACGAAACAGUGGUAGCAAAAAAAGCAAAGAAAAAUGCCCAUCCAAAUCAACAACGACAGUAACAAUAGUGGCGGUGGCGGUGGUGGCGCCAGCUCCGAAAUCAAGGUGAAAAUCGCCUACAGUGGUGAAGUGAUGAUCACCUAUAUCGUCGAAAGCAUCACCUACGAAGGAAUCUGCCGGGAGAUACGCCAGAUUUGUCGCUUCGCUCCGGAUCAGGUUUUUACUAUGAAAUGGGUUGACGAGGAGAACGAUCCGUGCACGAUUCAAUCCGAUUUGGAGCUGGACGAAGCAAUCCGGCUGUACGAGGUUAAUCGAGACUCAGAGCUUGUUAUACACGAACCAUCCGCCUGCCUAUUAAUUCAAUUUCUUCAUCAGAGCAGAAAGCAAGCUGAACGUAACCCUCCCUAUUUCGUUCUCUCUGUCACACCCACGCCCACGCUACAGCGUGGCAGAAAACGCCCUCGGUCGUGUAAAUUUGUGCAAUUCUUGGUUCCGUUUAAAGGUGAGCAGGUGAAGAAAAAAAAGUGCAACAUUAAAAGUUAACGCGCUUCGGUGGUAGGUGCCACACGAGAACGAAAUAGAGAACUUUCGUUCCCUCACGCCGUUGCUUCCUACGGCAAAAUGGCCUGGGGUUACUGGAGUGCCACGGCCGUCGAUCGGGGUCGGUCCCCACGGCGGAACACCCAACAGCAGCAGCAAUCGUUGCCCUACCAAAAUCAAAGCUACCAGCAGUACAGUCUGUCCAAUCAGUCCCAGCAGCACCAGCAGUCGACGCAGUGUCUCAACUCGUGCCCACAGGUGGCCGACCCAUCGCCGCCACCACUUCCGCCGCAACCUCAGCAGCAGCAACAACAGCAAGCCUGCAUCAGUCCGUGCCACAGUCCCUGUCACAGUCCACAGUUCAUCGAGCAACUUCCACCGGACCUGCCCUGCACUCCGGUCUGCACGUACUCACGUAGACAGUCACUUGAUAGUCCACAGGCAAAUCAACUGUCGGACAUCAUCUGCCGAGCGACGGUGCCUUCGAUUCAGUCGGCGGGCAACACACUGACCAGGGGAACUUCCUUGCGUGAUACCGGAGACUACGCGGUGCCGCACCCCCAUCCGCAUACGCACCACUAUAUGACCACUUCGGAUACGCCGCGAACGCUUAGCCGGGUCGGGUCAUGCCCCGGGUCGACGGGCGGAUCCGGCUCAGCUCACGGGUCCGGAUCCGGGUCUAGCCCGGGUGGUGGCCCCGGGAGCAGCGGUGGUGGCGGUGGCGGGCGGGAUAGUAUCGGAGGUAGCGUGGGGAUGAUGUGCGGGUCUAGUAUUCACGGUGGAAGUCAAGCUGGUGGCUUGGAGUACAUCGAGUGUUCCCACUACGAUCGGAUGCCACUGCCGAUUCCGGUGUCGAUACCGGUGGUGCCACCACCGCAGCUUUGCUCAGAGGAGGAGAUCGAACCAGCCUACGCGACAGUAUUCCCAAAUGUUCCGUCGGCUCCGGGAAUGUCCUGCGUCGGAGAGGACCGCAGCAUCUACCGACGAGGUGCCAGGAGAUGGCGCAAGCUGUAUCGGAUAAAUGGACACAUAUUCCAGGCAAAGCGUUUCAACCGGAAAGCCUUCUGCGCCUUCUGCCACGACCGCAUCUGGGGCCUCGGACGGCAGGGCUUCAAGUGCAUUCAGUGCAAACUAUUGGUGCACAAAAAGUGCCACAAGCUAGGCAACAAACCGUGCAGCAACGAACACGUGGAACCGGUAUUCAAGGAGCGUGAUCAUCAGGAUCUGAACGACGAAUCCAGUACCGGUGAUGUGAUUCAACCGCCGCAGGACUACCCCCAGGACUACCAUCACGGGGGAGAGCAGGGUGAUCAGGUACCGGUGGAAGCGCCAGAAAAUGUGGAGGAACCACUGGAACCGGGAACCCAGCGGCAAUAUUCGCUCAAUGAUUUUGAACUGAUUAGGGUCAUCGGACGCGGUAGCUACGCCAAGGUGCUGAUGGUCGAGCUACGCAGAACGCGGCGCAUCUACGCGAUGAAGGUUAUCAAGAAAGCGCUGGUCACUGACGACGAAGACAUCGACUGGGUACAGACGGAGAAGCACGUCUUCGAGACGGCUUCCAAUCAUCCAUUCCUUGUCGGGUUGCACUCGUGCUUCCAGACGCCGUCCCGGUUGUUCUUCGUGAUCGAGUUCGUACGUGGUGGUGAUCUGAUGUUCCACAUGCAGCGUCAGCGACGUCUUCCAGAGGAGCAUGCGCGGUUUUACGCAGCCGAGAUCAGCCUGGCACUGAACUUUUUGCACGAAAAGGGAAUCAUCUAUCGCGAUCUAAAGCUGGACAACGUACUGCUUGACCACGAGGGACACAUCAAGCUGACCGACUACGGCAUGUGCAAGGAAGGCAUCAGACCGGGCGAUUCUACGUCGACGUUCUGCGGAACACCAAAUUAUAUUGCGCCGGAAAUUCUGCGUGGCGAGGAUUAUGGAUUCUCCGUCGAUUGGUGGGCUCUCGGAGUGCUGUUGUAUGAGAUGCUAGCUGGACGUAGUCCAUUCGACAUUGCUGGUGCUUCCGAAAAUCCGGAUCAGAACACCGAGGACUACCUGUUCCAGGUGAUACUGGAGCGAACCAUCCGUAUUCCACGAUCGCUCAGCGUGAAGGCGGCCUCUGUGUUGCGAGGUUUCCUCAACAAAAAUCCGGCUGAUCGGCUCGGAUGCAACCGCGAGUCCGCUUUCAUGGACAUUGUCAGUCAUUCGUUUUUCAAGAGUAUCGACUGGGAGAUGCUAGCCCAAAAAGAGGUCACACCACCCUACAUUCCAUCGUUCGAUGGGUGCGAUCAGGACAUAACCUGUCACUUCGAUCCUCAGUUCACGCUGGAACCGGCCGAACUUACUCCGGACGAUCCCCGCGUAAUCGAUAACAUCGACCAGAGUGAAUUCGAGGGCUUCGAGUACGUGAACCCGCUGCUAAUGUCGCUGGAAGACUGCGUUUGACAUCACGCAUCCUGCGAGCUGCAUCCGUACAACAUGCAGUUUUGAAAGCGCGUUUUAACGGUUUUAUACAGCAAAACUACACCAAUAAUUCCCUGUUAGGUCGUCAAUCAGUGCACUAAAACCCCGUAAACUAAUGUAAAGCCACGAAAGCUGGUUAUUAGUGCUCUUACUGUUAACGAUCCGUUCAUUCCAGCGGAGUGAUUGAUUUAGUUUUUUUUUUGAACUGCUUAGUAAAUGUAACUCCGUUUCCUCAAAGCUGUAACGUAGAGAAGAUACUUGUUGUUAUUUUUUUAUUCCUAAUACACGUGUUACAAAUGAAGGAAAAAUGUGACUUUCCGUUUCCAACUAGCGGGAACAAAAAAAAACUAUAAAGUUUGAAAAUAUGAGUCUGUAAAAUUAUACGGUGACGAUUCUAGCGAUUACGAUUCCGUUGUGGAUGAACUAAGUAUUCUUCAAUUACCUCCGCCACCAUCAAAAAGUCUACUGCAGCACAUGUUUUGCCUUCCAUUGAACUAGUAAAGACCUGCCCGUCGAGGAAAUCGGAACGACAGGAGAGAGAAAGAGUGCGAGAGAUAGAAAAAAAGAAAUUCAGACAGUCGACAAAGUGGUUUGCAAAAGUUUUACUGUUCUUUUAACGAUGUUAAAUUAUUCGCUAAUUUCCGUCUUUUUCGGCAGUCUUCAAAAUCUAUAGUGGUAAGUAAGAGUAAAGGGAAGAACUCUCCUAUUUUCAGCGUAACGAAGCAAAACCAAACAAAUAAAUAGGCACAAGUUUAGGCAACAAUGAUUAGGGACAAGUUUCACAGCGAAGAAGUUACUUACCGCAAAGCAUACGAGAGCAAACAUUAUCCAAUUCUUAAACUACACAAUCAAUUUAAGAACAACUAGGGGCUAUGAAAAAAAAAACAAUGAAACAGCCACAACUACAACACUAACAUUGUUAAAACGGUACUCAACAUAUUCCGCUGAAACAACAUUCCAAAGGCAUUAAACAAGCAUGAAAUUAGCGCAAGUGGUUACUUUUUCAACAAUGUAAAACCAAGGAACUAUUCUAACUAACAAAGGAAAUUAUUACAGCAUUGCAAAUGAAAAUAUGAUCUAAAAUUAUUAAACGAAAAACAAAACAGAACAUCAACGGAUUCCUGACUAGGCUAAAGUUGCACCGCUGCUGCGUUAACAUAUGAGUAAAAGUAAAACGAUUCAUCAUCAAUGAACAUUGUGGCCGUUGAGUUAUGUGCUAACGAUAAAUUUGAAAGCAGAAUCGAAAUUGUAUAGAACAUUAGAGAACAAAAAAUCACAUUUAGCUAAUAAACAAACAAGAAACAAUAUUCCAAAUCUAGAGAGAAAGGCAAACCAAGAAAGACAUUUAACAGAGGAGGGAUUUUAAAUUUUUAAAUCAAACAAAAUUACUAAAGUAUAAAUUUAUUGAUAGAAGCAUACUACAAAACAAACAGAAAAGCAUGAAAUCAGAUGAGUAACAAGACAACAACAGAAAAAGAAAAAACGGAGCUGUUAGUAGCCAUGUUAGAUAAAACAUUCAAAUUAUUGCAAACUAUAGUGGAAGUUGGCAACACUGCUGAUUGUUGUUUUUUUUUUUGUAAACUAAUUAAUUUUACUAAUGCUUCUAGGUGAUGAACAUUUACCCUCAUGUGAUAUGCUUUUGUUUCUCAGUAUUUGCCCGUUAUUACCAUCAAGUUGGAUGGCUCGUUUUUAUUUUCCGCUGGUAACACUUUUUACCUACCAGCUGUUCAGUUUCACAGCGCCGUUAGAGUAUUAGGUAGUGUUAGAAACUAUGCCUGGUUGCUGCGCAUUGCUGCGGUGCGAUUUUCGGUUGGCGAAAUUGGCAUUCCCGUUCAAUCCACACGCACGGUUAGAGUUGUGUUAGGUGUCGUCCCAAGUUCAUAUAUACAUAUAUCGGUUUAAUUUACUGUAUUAGAUUCGACAUUUAAUUAGAUAGUAGCAAAAAAGGCAAAGAUACUUUGUUAGGUUAUUUCAUAGGUUCACAAACGAGCAACCAGUAUCGAUGAUUUGAAACCGUAACAUUCUUUUACUGUAGUAUUAUAUUUAUUUGAAAGCUUACAAUAUUUUAAAACAACAAAAACGGUUAGUACUUAUCCUAACGUUUCCAUUUCAUUUUAUCGUUAAGUAUUCUGCGACGUACUUAAAUUUCAUUCGCCUUUGAUUACUGUUAACAUACGUUAUAGUUCUCCAACGAGACAUUUUUUCUGAUGGAAAAAUAAAGCUAUACUAAAAAUAAUUCAUCUA